GAACGGGGAGCAGCCCAGAGCCUGAAUCAGUGUGUGUGUUAGUGGAAGCGUCUGGAAAGGCGCGCGAUACAGGGUGACAGCCCCGUACACAAAAAUGCACAUAUUGUGAGCUCGAUGAGUAGGGCGGGACACGUGGUAUCCUGUCUGAAUAUGGGGGGACCAUCCUCCAAGGCUAAAUACUCCUGACUGACCGAUAGUGAACCAGUACCGUGAGGGAAAGGCGAAAAGAACCCCGGCGAGGGGAGUGAAAAAGAACCUGAAACCGUGUACGUACAAGCAGUGGGAGCACGCUUAGGCGUGUGACUGCGUACCUUUUGUAUAAUGGGUCAGCGACUUAUAUUCUGUAGCAAGGUUAACCGAAUAGGGGAGCCGAAGGGAAACCGAGUCUUAACUGGGCGUUAAGUUGCAGGGUAUAGACCCGAAACCCGGUGAUCUAGCCAUGGGCAGGUUGAAGGUUGGGUAACACUAACUGGAGGACCGAACCGACUAAUGUUGAAAAAUUAGCGGAUGACUUGUGGCUGGGGGUGAAAGGCCAAUCAAACCGGGAGAUAGCUGGUUCUCCCCGAAAGCUAUUUAGGUAGCGCCUCGUGAAUUCAUCUCCGGGGGUAGAGCACUGUUUCGGCAAGGGGGUCAUCCCGACUUACCAACCCGAUGCAAACUGCGAAUACCGGAGAAUGUUAUCACGGGAGACACACGGCGGGUGCUAACGUCCGUCGUGAAGAGGGAAACAACCCAGACCGCCAGCUAAGGUCCCAAAGUCAUGGUUAAGUGGGAAACGAUGUGGGAAGGCCCAGACAGCCAGGAUGUUGGCUUAGAAGCAGCCAUCAUUUAAAGAAAGCGUAAUAGCUCACUGGUCGAGUCGGCCUGCGCGGAAGAUGUAACGGGGCUAAACCAUGCACCGAAGCUGCGGCAGCGACGCUUAUGCGUUGUUGGGUAGGGGAGCGUUCUGUAAGCCUGUGAAGGUGUGCUGUGAGGCAUGCUGGAGGUAUCAGAAGUGCGAAUGCUGACAUAAGUAACGAUAAAGCGGGUGAAAAGCCCGCUCGCCGGAAGACCAAGGGUUCCUGUCCAACGUUAAUCGGGGCAGGGUGAGUCGACCCCUAAGGCGAGGCCGAAAGGCGUAGUCGAUGGGAAACAGGUUAAUAUUCCUGUACUUGGUGUUACUGCGAAGGGGGGACGGAGAAGGCUAUGUUGGCCGGGCGACGGUUGUCCCGGUUUAAGCGUGUAGGCUGGUUUUCCAGGCAAAUCCGGAAAAUCAAGGCUGAGGCGUGAUGACGAGGCACUACGGUGCUGAAGCAACAAAUGCCCUGCUUCCAGGAAAAGCCUCUAAGCAUCAGGUAACAUCAAAUCGUACCCCAAACCGACACAGGUGGUCAGGUAGAGAAUACCAAGGCGCUUGAGAGAACUCGGGUGAAGGAACUAGGCAAAAUGGUGCCGUAACUUCGGGAGAAGGCACGCUGAUAUGUAGGUGAAGCGACUUGCUCGUGGAGCUGAAAUCAGUCGAAGAUACCAGCUGGCUGCAACUGUUUAUUAAAAACACAGCACUGUGCAAACACGAAAGUGGACGUAUACGGUGUGACGCCUGCCCGGUGCCGGAAGGUUAAUUGAUGGGGUCAGCGCAAGCGAAGCUCUUGAUCGAAGCCCCGGUAAACGGCGGCCGUAACUAUAACGGUCCUAAGGUAGCGAAAUUCCUUGUCGGGUAAGUUCCGACCUGCACGAAUGGCGUAAUGAUGGCCAGGCUGUCUCCACCCGAGACUCAGUGAAAUUGAACUCGCUGUGAAGAUGCAGUGUACCCGCGGCAAGACGGAAAGACCCCGUGAACCUUUACUAUAGCUUGACACUGAACAUUGAGCCUUGAUGUGUAGGAUAGGUGGGAG
rnacentral:rRNA from 1 species